GACGAACGCUGGCGGCGUGCCUAAUACAUGCAAGUCGAGCGGACCAAAGGGAGCUUGCUCCUGGAGGUUAGCGGCGAACGGGUGAGUAACACGUGGGCAACCUGCCUGUAAGACUGGGAUAACAUCGAGAAAUCGGUGCUAAUACCGGAUAAUAAAAAGAACUGCAUGGUUCUUUUUGAAAGAUGGUUUCGGCUAUCACUUACAGAUGGGCCCGCGGCGCAUUAGCUAGUUGGUGAGGUAACGGCUCACCAAGGCAACGAUGCGUAGCCGACCUGAGAGGUGAUCGGCCACACUGGGACUGAGACACGGCCCAGACUCCUACGGGAGGCAGCAGUAGGGAAUCUUCCGCAAUGGACGAAAGUCUGACGGAGCAACGCCGCGUGAGUGAUGUAAGGUUUCGGAUACGUAAACUCUGUUGUUAGGGAAGAACAAGUG
rnacentral:rRNA from 1 species